rnacentral:tRNA from 1 species
GUGCCUGUAGUUCAGCGGUGGAACGCCGGACUGUGGCUCCGGAUGACGUGGGUUCGAAUCCCACCAGGCACCCCA